rnacentral:rRNA from 1 species
UACGUAGGUGGCAAGCGUUAUCCGGAUUUAUUGGGCGUAAAGAGAACGCAGGCGGUCUUUUAAGUCUGAUGUGAAAGCCUUCGGCUUAACCGGAGUAGUGCAUUGGAAACUGGGAGACUUGAGUGCAGAAGAGGAGAGUGGAACUCCAUGUGUAGCGGUGAAAUGCGUAGAUAUAUGGAAGAGCACCAGUGGCGAAAGCGGCUCUCUGGUCUGUAACUGACGCUGAGGUUCGAAAGCGUGGGUAGCAAACAGG